GGUGAGAUGGCCGAGUGGUUAUGGCGCUGCGUUCAGGAUGUCUGAGCAAAUUUCGCAGUGGAGCAAUCCGCGUGGGUUCGAGUCCCACUCUCAUCA
rnacentral:tRNA from 1 species